rnacentral:rRNA from 1 species
ACGAUGGGUAGCCGACCUGAGAGGGUGAUCGGCCACAUUGGAACUGAGAAACGGUCCAAACUCCUACGGGAGGCAGCAGUGGGGAAUAUUGGGCAAUGGAGGCAACUCUGACCCAGCAACGCCGCGUGAAGGAUGAAGGUCUUCGGAUUGUAAACUUCUGUCGUAUGGGACGAAGAAUGACGGUACCAUACAAGAAAGCCCCGGCUAACUACGUGCCAGCAGCCGCGGUAAUACGUAGGGGGCAAGCGUUGUCCGGAAUGACUGGGCGUAAAGGGAGCGUAGGUGGUUUAGCAAGUUAAGUGUGAAAGCCCAUGGCUUAACCAUGGAACUGCACUUAAAACUGUUGAACUGGAGUACGGGAGAGGUAAAUGGAAUUCCUAGUGUAGCGGUGGAAUGCGUAGAUAUUAGGAGGAACACCAGAGGCGAAGGCGAUUUACUGGACCGCAACUGACACUGAGGCUCGAAAGCGUGGGGAGCAAACAGGAUUAGAUACCCUGGUAGUCCACGCCCUAAACGAUGGAUACUAGACGAAGCGGAGAUUAUUCUGCUGUGUCGAAGCUAACGCGAUAAGUAUCCCGCCUGAGGAGUACGGCCGCAAGGUUAAAACUCAAAGAAAUUGACGGGGACCCGCACAAGCAGCGGAGCAUGUGGUUUAAUUCGAAGCAACGCGAAGAACCUUACCAAGACUUGACAUCGUAUGACCGCUAUAGAGAUAUGGUUUUCCCUUCGGGGACAUAUAGACAGGUGGUGCAUGGUUGUCGUCAGCUCGUGUCGUGAGAUGUUCGGUUAAGUCCGGCAACGAGCGCAACCCUUAUAUCCAGUUGCCAAUAUUAAGUUAGGAACUCUGGAUAGACUGCCGUGGAUAACACGGAGGAAGGUGGGGAUGACGUCAAAUCAUCAUGCCCCUUACGUCUUGGGCUACACACGUGCUACAAUGGGUGCUACAAAGAGCAGCGACCUCGUAAGAGUGAGCAAAUCUCAUAAAAGCAUUCUCAGUUCGGAUUGUGGGCUGCAACCCGCCCACAUGAAGUCGGAGUUGCUAGUAAUCCCGAAUCAGAAUGUCGGGGUGAAUGCGUUCCCGGGUCUUGUACACACCGCCCGUCACGCCAUGGGAGUUGGGGGUAUCCAAAGUCGGUGAGCUAACCGCAAGGGGGCAGCCGCCUAAGGUAAAACCAAUGACUGGGGUGAAGUCGUAACAAGGUAGCCGUAUCAGAAGGUGCGGCUGGAUCACCUCCUUUUAAG